rnacentral:rRNA from 1 species
GGCGCUCACUGGCGCGCCGCGCGCCGCGUCGCCGUCGUGCACCUCCUCUCCGCGCGCCGCGUCGACCUCAUGUCCGACGCCGUCGUCGCCCGGGAGCUGCGCGCCCUGGUGCGCCGCCUCGCGCGCGUUGCCGCGGGUGGCGCCGCGAGGGUGGAGCUGAAGCGGCGGCUGUUCGACCUCUCCCACAGCGUCCUCAUGGAGGCCAUCGCGCGGAGCAGGAACACCUACUCCGACGACGGAGCGGACAUGUCCCAGGAGGCGCGGGAGAUGAAGGACAUCGUGGACGCCAUCGUGCCGCUCGUCGGUGUCGCCAACCUGUGGGACUACCUUCCGGUGCUGCGCUGGCUCGACUGGCGAGGCGUCAGGCGGCGGCUGGCGGACGCAACGAGCCGGAGGAACGCCUUCAUCUACAAGCUCAUCGACGGGGAGAGGCAGAAGCGGUUGAACGCUGCUGCGGAUGCCGCCGACAAGCAGCAGGAGGAGGAGGAGCAGAGCAUGAUCGGCGUCAUGCUCUCGCUGCAGAAGUCAGAGCCCGACCUGUACACGGACACUUUCAUCGCCGCCCUCGUCGCCAAUCUUCUUGGCGCCGGGACAGAGACGACGUCGACGACGACGGAAUGGGCGAUGGCGCUGCUGCUGAACCACCCGGCGGUGCUAAAGGAGGCACAGGAAGAGAUCGACACGCACCUCAGCCUCAUCGGCGAGCCGAGCCGCCUCCUAGACAAGAAGGACCUGCCCCACCUUCCUUACCUCCACUGCAUCAUCAGCGAGACGCUGCGGCUGUGCCCCGCCGCGCCGCUGCUGCUGCCGCACGAGGCCGCCGCCGACUGCCAGCUCCACGGGUACGACGUCGCCGCGGGCACGAUCGUGCUCGUCAACGCAUACGCCAUCCACCGCGACCCGGCGGCGUGGGGACCGGCGCCCGAGGAGUUCAGGCCGGAGAGGUUCGAGCAUGGCAGCGCCGAGGGGAAGGUCAUGAUGCCGUUCGGGAUGGGCAGGCGCAAGUGCCCCGGGGAGAGCCUGGCCAUGAGGACCAUGGGCUUGGUUCUUGGCACGCUGAUCCAGUGCUUCGAUUGGAGAAAGGUCGGGGACGAAGAGGUCGACAUGGCCGCGAGUUCCGGGACCGUCAUGUUCAAGGCCGUCCCUCUGGAAGCUCUCUGCACACCGCGUGCCGGCAUGGAUACUCUUCUUCAGAAGAUGUAA